rnacentral:tRNA from 1 species
GGCUAGUUAGCUUAAAUGGUAGCGCGUCUGCCUUGUAAGCGCUAGAUCGCGGGUUCGACUCCCGCCCUAGGCG